GAUGAACGCUGGCGGCGUGCCUAACACAUGCAAGUCGAACGGAAAGGCCUGCUUUCCCUUGUGGUUUGCGGGGAGUCGAGUGGCGAACGGGUGAGUAACACGCGAGUGAUCUGCCCUCAACUUGGGUAUAAGCCCGGGAAACUGGGUCUAAUUCCCGAUAGGACUGCAGGGUGGUGCCGGUGGUGGAAAACGAUUUUCUAGUGGUUGGGGAUGAGCUCGCGGCUUAUCAGCUUGGUGGUGGGGUAAUGGCCUACCAAGGCGGGGACGGGUAGCCGGCGGGGGAGGGUGGACGGCCGCAUUGGGACAGGGAUCCGACCCCGACGCGUACGAGAGGCAGCAGUGGGGAAUAAUGCGCAGUAAGCCGGAGCCUGAUGCGGCGACGCAGUGUGGAAGAUGACGGCCUUCGAGAUGUAAACUCCUUUCGACCACGAGGAAGCCACCUGGUUAGAAGGGUGGUGACGGUAGUGGUAGAAGAAGCCCCGGCUAACUACGUG
rnacentral:rRNA from 1 species